CCUACGGGAGGCAGCAGUGAGGAAUAUUGGUCAAUGGACGAGAGUCUGAACCAGCCAAGUAGCGUGAAGGAUGACUGCCCUAUGGGUUGUAAACUUCUUUUAUAAAGGAAUAAAACGAGGCACGUGUGCCUUUUUGCAUGUACUUUAUGAAUAAGGAUCGGCUAACUCCGUGCCAGCAGCCGCGGUAAUACGGAGGAUCCGAGCGUUAUCCGGAUUUAUUGGGUUUAAAGGGAGCGUAGAUGGGUUGUUAAGUCAGUUGUGAAAGUUUGCGGCUCAACCGUAAAAUUGCAAUUGAUACUGGCAGUCUUGAGUGGGCGAGAAGUAUGCGGAAUGCGUGGUGUAGCGGUGAAAUGCAUAGAUAUCACGCAGAACCCCGAUUGCGAAGGCAGCAUACCGGCGCCCUACUGACGCUGAGGCACGAAAGUGCGGGUAUCGAACAGGAUUAGAUACCCGGGUAGUC
rnacentral:rRNA from 1 species